UACAUAGGGGCGAGCGUUAUCCGGAAUUAUUGGGCGUAAAGGGUACGUAGGCGGGCCUGCAAGUCUGAUUUGAAAGCACACGGCUUAACCGUGUGAGGUAAUUAGAAACUACAGGUCUAGAGAGUGGUAGAGGUAAAUGGAAUUCCAAGUGGAGCGGUGAAAUGCGUAGAGAUUUGGAGGAACACCAGUGGCGAAGGCGGUUUACUGGGCCACAUCUGACGCUGAUGUACGAAAGCGUGGGGAGCAAACAAGAUUAGAUACCCCGGUAGUCCCUGAGCGGG
rnacentral:rRNA from 1 species